rnacentral:rRNA from 1 species
GAUCAUGGCUCAGGAUGAACGCUGGCGGCGUGCCUAACACAUGCAAGUCGAACGGAGCUGCUUUGAUGAAGUUUUCGGAUGGAUUUAAAACAAGCUUAGUGGCGGACGGGUGAGUAACGCGUGGGUAACCUGCCUCACACUGGGGGAGUAACAGUUAGAAAUAAGCUGCUAAUACCGCAUAAGCGCACGGUUCGUGCAUGGAACGAAGUGUGAAAACUACCGGUCGGUGUGAGAUGGACCCGGCCGU